rnacentral:lncRNA from 1 species
GGGGCUGGUUGUCAUAAGGCAGUACUCCUCUCUAUAUUAUGGGGCUGGUUGUCAUAAGGCAGUACUCCUCUCUACAUUAUGGGGCUGGUUGUGAUAAGGCAGUACUCCUCUCUAUAUUAUGGGGCUGGUUGUGAUAAGGCAGUACUCAUCUCUGCAUUAUGGGACUGGUUGUGAUAAGGCAGUACUCAUCUCUAUAUUAUGGGGCUGGUUGUGAUAAGGCAGUACUCAUCUCUGCAUUAUGGGACUGGUUGUGAUAAGGCAGUACUCAUCUCUAUAUUAUGGGGCUGGUUGUGAUAAGGCAGUACUCACCUCUGCAUUAUGGGGCUGGUUGUGAUAAGGCAGUACUUACCUCUGCAUUAUGGAGCUGGUUGUGAUAAGGCAGUACUCACCUCUAUAUUAUGGGGCUGGUUGUGAUAAGGCAGUACUCAUCUCUAUAUUAUGGGGCUGGUUGUGAGAGAUGGAUGGAGGAAGAGAUGGAAGGAUGGAGGAUGAGAUGGAGGGAUGAGGGAGAGAUGGAGAGAUAUAAAGAGAGGGGGAUUACAGUAAGGUUAAGGAAGCAUGUUGAGAGAUAAAUUUGAUAAAUAUGUCCCUUGAGGUGUGAGGGGGAGAGGGAUGGAAGGAGACAGAAGGAUGCAGAGAGAGAUGACGAGGGACAGAGGGAGAUGACGAGGGACAGAGGGAGAUGACGAGGGACAGAGGGAGAUGACGAGGGACAGAGAGAGAUGACGAGGGACAGAGGGAGAUGACGAGGGACAGAGAGAGAUGACGAGGGACAGAGGGAGAUGACGAGGGACAGAGAGAGAUGACGAGGGACAGAGGGAGAUGACGAGGGAAAGAGAGAGAUGACGAGGGACAGAGAGAGAAGACGAGGGACAGAGGGAGAUGACGAGGGACAGAGGGAGAUGACGAGGGAAAGAUAGAGAUGACGAGGGACAGAGGGAGAUGACGAGGCACAGAGGGAGAUGACGAGGGAAAGAGAGAUAGAGGGAAAGGUGGUAAGAUGUUGCUGGAGGUUUGAAUGGGAGUAAGAGAGAAGAUGGAGGGAGGAAGAGAGAUGACAGAGGGAGGAAUAUGGAGGGAGGAAGGGAGAUGACAGAGGGAGGAAGAUGGAGGGAUGAAGGGAGAUGACAGAGGGAGGAAGAUGGAGGGAUGAAGGGAGAUGACAGAGGGAGGAAGAUGGAGGGAUGAAGGGAGAGACAUCAGGCGUUGUGGGGGCACUAGAGCGUAGUUUCCUGUCAACAAAGUUUAGUCUGAAGACCUUUCUUCGUAUCCUGUUGUAUAUUUUAUUAUAGGGAACACAGUCUAUAUAUCCUGUUGUAUAUUAUAUUAUAGGGAACACAGUCUAUAUAUCCUGUUGUAUAUUAUAUUAUAGAGAACACAGUCUAUAUAUCCUGUUGUAUAUUAUAUUAUAGGGAACACAGUCUAUAUAUCCUGUUGUAUAUUAUAUUAUAGAGAACACAGUCUAUAUAUCCUGUUGUAUAUUUUAUUAUAGGGAACACAGUCUAUAUAUCCUGUUGUAUAUUAUAUUAUAGGGAACACAGUCUAUAUAUCCUGUUGUAUAUUAUAUUAUAGAGAACACAGUCUAUAUAUCCUGUUGUA